rnacentral:rRNA from 1 species
CCCUUAGAUGUUCUGGGCCGCACGCGUGUUACACUGAUGCAUUCAACGAGCUUAUAACCUUGGCCGAGGGGCCUGGGCAAUCUUGUUAACGUGCAUCGUGAUAGGGAUAGAUUAUUGAAAUUAUUAAUCUUGAACGAGGAAUUCCUAGUAAACGCAGAUCAUCAAUCUGCAUUGAUUACGUCCCUGCCCUUUGUACACACCGCCCGUCGCACCUACCGAUUGGAUGGUCCGGUGAAGCCUCGGGAUUGUGGUUCUUGCCGCUUUAUUGUGGCGUGACCGCGAGAACUUGUCUAAACCUUAUCAUCUAGAGGAAGGUGAAGUCGUAACA